GGUGUUCAGUCGUGCAUGCCAGGAGGGAUACCAUCAAUCAUACGUUCGUGGUGCAGUUGACCACGUGAGAGUCACUUACCGCAGUUCCCGUCCAAGACCUAUUUACUGUCGACUUCUUCAGUAUGCAAAUCAACACUUCAUCCUCAACGCUUCUAAACACCUCAAGGACAAGAAGUACCAGGGUCACGUUUUCAUCUCAGGCCAUAUUACACCCAAGCUGAGAGCUGAGCUUAUUAGGAUACAACUCCACACUGGUUCCGUAAAGAUUACACAGACCACACAUUUACGCGGCGGGUUCCAGAGGGAUUUCUUGAUGCUACCAGAAAAAACUACCGCACGGCAGCGAGGUAGAUACUCACCGCUAUGAUGUCACCUGGUUGCGUAUCAUUUCUACUAUCAGACACGAGGUGGAAUCGGCGAAUGACGCGCUCACAUUUGCUCAUCCGUUACAAGAUAAUAAGAUGCUUUGUCCACUUCAAACCAAACGACCUGAAAGAACUCUCAUGGGAGUUAGAGUGGUAAAAUCCGGUGUUUUCCAAAUGUUUUUCUUGGAGAGAUGUUACUAUGCAACUGAUGAGAUAGCGCCAAAUGCUCACAAAGUAAGUGUUCUUACUGAAAAAAAAUUCAGAUUUGAUGCAUAAACUGCGAGAAAGCGAUUUAUCUCAAAUAUUUGUUGUUUAGAAUUUCAACGUGUAUUUAUUGUGUUUUCACUUUGCUGCGAAUUCAGUUGCAUCCACUUUCACUUUACCUUGAUUAUAAUUCAAUGUAAACCGUUUAUUGGUUGGAUAUUGGUUGGAAACUUUUUGAAAAAGCUAUUGCAUCCCGAUACAAACUACAAACCACACUUUGAUCAAUCCUGCA
rnacentral:lncRNA from 1 species